AGCAGCCGCGGUAAUUCCAGCUCCAAUAGCGUAUAUUAAAGUUGCUGCAGUUAAAAAGCUCGUAGUUGAAUUUCGGGACUAAUAUGUCGGUCGUGCUUCGGUACGUACUGGUUUAUUGGUUUCUCCUUUCUGAAGAACCAUGAUGUCAUUUAUUUGGUGUCGUGGGGAAUCAGGACUGUUACUUUGAAAAAAUUAGAGUGUUUAAAGCAGGCUCACGCUUGAAUACAUUAGCAUGGAAUAAUGAAAUAGGACGUUUGAUUCUAUUUUGUUGGUUUCUAGGAUCGACGUAAUGAUUAAUAGGGAUAGUUGGGGGCAUUAGUAUUCAAUUGUCAGAGGUGAAAUUCUUGGAUUUAUUGAAGACUAACUACUGCGAAAGCAUUUGCCAAGGAUGUUUUCAUUAAUCAAGAACGAAAGUUAGGGGAUCGAAGACGAUCAGAUACCGUCGUAGUCUUAACCAUAAACUAUGCCGACUAGGGAUCGGAUGAUGUUAAUUUUUUAAUGACUCAUUCGGCGCCUUACG
rnacentral:rRNA from 1 species